UCUUCUUUUUCGUUCUCUUUCUCUUUCCCUUCUUCCUUUUCAGGUUUAUCUUUGGGUUUGAAUUUGAGUUAUGGUAUUGGGGUCGGAAGAGAAAAAGCCCGCAGCUUAGUUGUGAGUGCUGGGAAGUUCGCUCUUUGUCAAACAAAGAGAAAGAG